rnacentral:rRNA from 1 species
UGGGGAAUAUUGGACAAUGGGCGCAAGCCUGAUCCAGCCAUGCCGCGUGAGUGAUGAAGGCCCUAGGGUUGUAAAGCUCUUUCACCGGGGAAGAUAAUGACGGUAACCGGAGAAGAAGCCCCGGCUAACUUCGUGCCAGCAGCCGCGGUAAUACGAAGGGGGCUAGCGUUGUUCGGAUUUACUGGGCGUAAAGCGCACGUAGGCGGACUUUUAAGUCAGGGGUGAAAUCCCGGGGCUCAACCCCGGAACUGCCUUUGAUACUGGAAGUCUUGAGUAUGGUAGAGGUUAGUGGACUUCCGAGUGGAGAGGUGAAAUUCGUAGAUAUUCGGAGGAACACCAGUGGCGAAGGCGGCUCACUGGACCAUUACUGACGCUGAGGUGCGAAAGCGUGGGGAGCAAACAGG